UACGGGAGGCAGCAGUCGGGAAUAUUGCGCAAUGGAGGAAACUCUGACGCAGUGACGCCGCGUAUAGGAAGAAGGUCUUCGGAUUGUAAACUAUUGUCGUUAGGGAAGAAAAAAAUGACAGUACCUAAGGAGGAAGCUCCGGCUAACUACGUGCCAGCAGCCGCGGUAAU
rnacentral:rRNA from 1 species